GACAACAUCGACAAUAUACAGAUUGUCUUUAGGGAGGACUUUGGAACUGAAGGCCGUGGAGGAUAUUUUGAUGAAUAUGGAAUCAUUCGUGAUAUUAUCCAAAAUCAUCUGUUGCAGGUUCUUUGUUUAGUCGCUAUGGAGAAGCCUGUUUCUCUUAAACCUGAGCACAUUCGGGAUGAGAAAGUGAAGGUCCUUGAAUCAGUCCUACCCAUAGAAUCUGAAGAGGUUGUCCUAGGACAGUACGAGGGAUACAAAGAUGACCCAACAGUUUCAGAUGACUCCAACACUCCAACUUUUGCUACUGUUGUUCUCCGGAUACACAACGAGAGAUGGGAAGGUGUUCCUUUCAUACUAAAGGCAGGAAAAGCACUGAAUUCUAGGAAGGCAGAAAUUCGUGUUCAGUUCAAGGAUGUUCCUGGU
rnacentral:misc_RNA from 1 species